UCUGCAAUUAUAAAAGGGGCGUCAGGACCUGGCUUCACAAGUGGCAGUGAUCACGGACAUCAGGAACAAUGAGAUGCAGGGAAUCCGGUGUAAAAUUUGUGGCAUGGGGAAGUCGGAUUCUUAUGGGUGGCGAGAUGGCAGAUGCCAUCGGUGUAGUAAUUAUCAUUACAGAACAAAAAGAGAACGUCCGGUGAAAUUUCGUAGAUGAAUCCACCAAAAUUGUAAUAUCACUC